AAUGCAAGUGGUGCCGGCUGACCCCUUGCAACCCAGAUAGUAGCCCGGAAAUGCACUUCCUGAUCUGUAUUUUAAGGUCUUUUAUAAACAUAACGGAAGCAUAAUAUUGAGUGAGGAACACGUCUAAAAUUAAGGCUUUCCUAUUUAUAGGGCUCUUUAUAACUUUUCCAUCCUAAAACUAAAGCUAUUCAAGGAGGGGAGAGAGGCUCAAGAAGCAAGUGAUAUACAAAUAUAAACUACAUAUGUAAGUAAUUAUGGCUAAUUUGGAUUGUCGUAUGGCAGAAACCAACAGAAAAUGGAAAAACAAUUUUUCCCGAUGAAAAAAUUUUUGAAAGAAAUGAUACUAAAGCUAUUUGAAUGCCUUUUUGUAUGCAAAGACCUAGUUCCACAUUACUCUUUUCAGUUUUUCAGCAGAAUUCGAAAAUUGGCGUGACAAGAGGUUUAGACAUCUUUUAAAAAUUGCGUUCUAGAAACAUCUAUUUAUGUAUGUGUGUACUGCUCACUAGCCUUCAUUUAAUUGCCAUACUUUGAAAAAAAUUUGUUCUGGAAGGAAUUGUUUUAUUUUUUGCUUUGAGACCAAUAUUUUAUGUUUUGUGUUUUUAUUCAUUACGGAAUCUGAGCUGUGUGUCCUCCGGUUGAUACUCGAAGACUCAAAGGGAUCAUUCAGCAGCUGUGGAACUUUUUCUAUUCUGCCAGAAUGUUCAUGGGCUCCUCUGCCUGCAGUUGCAGCAUGAAGACCGCCUGAAGGCAGAGAGCGGCGGAGUCAUCAGGAAGGGGAACCCUCUCCAGGGCCCUAGAGUGGGCUCACACGUGCUGACAAAGCAAGAGACUUGGCUGGAGGGGCGCCCGGGAGGACAGCAGCAGGCUAGGGCAUGGAGGAGAAAUAUACUUCCAUGUUUGCUUACAGGGAACUCUAGAAGGACCCGUAAGAAACAAAACACUACCUGCGGAGGGCAGACGGCCCUGGGCACACAGGCUAAACGACAGGAGGCACAAAUUAAGGCGAGUAUAUAAUAUAUCUCUA